CCUACGGGAGGCAGCAGUGAGGAAUAUUGGUCAAUGGGCGCGAGCCUGAACCAGCCAAGUAGCGUGAAGGAUGAAUGCCCUACGGGUUGUAAACUUCUUUUAUAAAGGAAUAAAGUGAGGCACGUGUGCCUUUUUGUAUGUACUUUAUGAAUAAGGACCGGCUAACUCCGUGCCAGCAGCCGCGGUAAUACGGAGGAGCCGAGCGUUAUCCGGAUUUAUUGGGUUUAAAGGGAGCGUAGAUGGGUUGUUACGUCAGUUGUGAAAGUUUGCGGCUCAACCGUAACAGUGCAAUUGAUACUGGCAGCCUUGAGUACAGUAGAGGUAGGCGGAAUUCGUGGUGUAGCGGUGAAAUGCUUAGAUAUCACGAAGAACUCCGAUUGCGAAGGCAGCCUACUAAACUGCCACUGACACUGAGGCUCGAAAGUGUGGGUAUCAAACAGGAUUAGAUACCCGGGUAGUC
rnacentral:rRNA from 1 species